CUGCGCGAAGCGAGCGCGAGGGCUGCCGGGAAGGGGUGGUGCCGGGGCGGCCACGGCGCCCGCGGGGCUCCCGGUGGGGGCGGGAUCCCCACAGACACCCCUGCGGACGGGCGGCCCCAUCCGGGCCAGACCCCCGGAACGCUGCGGGGCGGGGGCGGCUGUUCCCGGUCAACGAUGACGGUAAUGGCGGAGCCCCAAGCCCGCAGCGCGGCGGGGCGGCAGCGCCAGGCCGCGGGAAGGACCCGCUGUCCCGGUAGCGGCUGUCGCUCAAGGUUAAAAACCAACCAGCCAAACCCCACCAAGACCCCCACACUCUUUCCAACGAGUCCUAAGCAACGGAGCAGCUUAUUGAGCUAAGAGUCACAUCAAACCGUCUGCAAGUUGCCUCCCUUGCCUUUCUGGACCAUCCACAGCAGAGCCUGGGAAGAUUUCUGCCCGUGAUUCUCAGAGGUAUCUAGUCCGUUCCCAGAGCUCGGUUCCCGGUGAAGAUGUGCCAGGCAUCUUCCAAAGGAAUUUGUUGCCUCUUACACUGCAUUGGAGCUGAGAUUCAGAGACUGGUUUUUUAAUUUGCUAGAUUGUGUAAUAACUCCCAGCGUAGUAGAGUGUGAACUUCCAUCAGCACAGAUUGUCAUAAACCAAAGGACAAAAUCCACCGAGUGGGGAGCUGGGAACUGUGCUGGAGAGCUGGCGUCGAGUGUGUAAAAUUGUGUCAGAUCCUAAAUACUGAACACAGACAUUGGUAUUUACACUGGAGGUUGGAAGGAGACUCCUUCAAAGACAAAGCCACAGGUGGCUUGGGUAAGAUGUAGCAACUAUUCCUGUAAGCCCUGGAAUAGUGUGCAGGACAACUGUGGCAGGAUCUAGUCAAAAGCUGUUUUGUCCGAGUUCUCCUUCUCUCUCUUUUCCUUUCAAAAGGUGGGAAGACAGUCCAAGGUACUUUUUUGCUGGGUUUGAAUGAUGCAGACUGAAGCAGGAACUCAAGUAUGAGACAAAGACUGGUUUAAAAAUGGCUAGGUUUUACUGCCUGGUGAUAUUUUUUCAAAGUACAUUUACUGAAGAUUUAUGUAAAAUCUAUCUUUUGUCUACUUAAAAUAUGUCAAAUGGAUGUACAGGGCAAAAUUUAAUGCAUAUGGGUUUUCAUUAUUUUAAAUCAUUUGCAAUAUAAAUGAUUUACUAUGACAUCAGACAUUUGUUCUUUGGCUGUCCACCAUAAAUUGAGGCCCACCCAAAUUUCCAGUCUUAGCUAUCUUUCUGCAUUCCCUCCCCCAGUAUCUAUAAUCUCAGUUCUGUGAUUCUUCAUGUAAAUGGCUUUCAACAAGGAAAGGAACAGAACACAUAAUUUGCCUUAAUACAGGUAAUUUUGAAAGAGGAGCAAGACCUUUACAUGAGAAAUAGUUGACAGCCACGGAAAGGGGAGAACUAACGCUCAUAGAACAGAAAGUCGUUCUUGAUGAGAGUGGCGAGAGCUACUGAUCAACCAGAUGUGACUAAAUGGACUUUUUGUGCAGUUGAAGCUGCCAGAGGUGAUAGACUUCUAUCUUUCUCUUUCUGCGUUUUCUCAUGUCUUUUUAGUGCCCUUACAUUUAUAAUGCAAUCAAUCCAACCCGGGCCAGUUAAUGUUGUAGGCGACCGUUUGGAAACCUGAGGGAUUGAGGUAAGCCCGUUUCCUCAAGGUCAUUCUGAAAGUCCAUGGUGAAAAACUGGUGACACCUGACACCCAGAAUUGUGCUUUCACGACAGAUUUUCUCCUAACGGCGGUAAAAAUCUUGACACAAUCAAACUUUUUGUAAGACUUGUGGAAAACCCCAUUCGUUAUUGUGUCUGCUGGUUGUCUUAUGAUGGUUAAUGGAUCACAGACAUUUGGACCCAUCGAUAACCUUUAUUUGAAGCCUUUCCAGCUCACUAGUUACUGAAAAUUGUUGCUACCCAAAAGCUCUGCAGUGGCCUCUGCUACAAGAACUAAACACCUGAACUCAGCCCAGUUUCUCAUCCAUGGAUGUCACCUCAAAACCCACCAGGUCAACUGACUCUGCUGAGACACUGAUUUCUACUCAUGAAAUGGAAAGACAGUUGCGUCUGAACCAAACACUGUAUUUUUGCGAACUUCCCUCACCCACACCACAUAUCUCAGUCUUUGCACAACUCCCUUCCUGCUCUGUCAAAGGAUUUCACUAUUUUUACAAUUUCAUGCAUUAUUGCUCAGGUAUGUACUUUUAAGGCUACAUCCCAAAUCUGACCUGCCCAAAGAUUUGUAGCAAUUCUGAGCGAUAUCAUAAACUAAGGAACAUCCUAAGGGGAAUCUUACUUCUGACAUCCUGGCUAUCUGCCCAGUCCUAGAGCCACAAGUGUGCCUGACAAUGUCCUUUAUCUCUGUUUGCUGCCUUUCCCACAGUGCUCGUCCUACACCAAACAACAGCACUGCCAACAAGCUUAAUCCAGAAAGCAGAGUGCCUGCACGCGUCUGCCGUCGUCCCAGCUUCCAGUGGCUCUGCCACGGCGAGAUCCAAUUGAGAAAAUCUCAGCGUAGCUCUGAUUUAUGUGCAGAAGUGUAGAGGAGAGCAGAAGCUUUUAGUAUGUUGGAAGUAGUUAGGAAUUAAGGCCAAAGAAAGGACAGUCGUGUCAAUUGCAUCCUAAAAAAAGAAAACUUAAGUGAAAGUCCUGGCUCCUGAACUGUUUCUGGGCUGGCAGAUGUGCGCACUUCUGUUGGCAGAUACUGUGGAAAGCUAAUGGGCCCAUUUUGAUCCUCUCCCUUACACAAUGGCAUCAGUUUUACAGUUUGGAGGGAGGCCUGGUGGGACUGUGACACUUCAGCAUUUUUCCUGAAAUGAAAUUAAGGAAUACAUUUAAUAUUUUAAGUUCUCUGAUGAUGUCUUGUCAGGAACCUCCACUGGACCCAGCACAUGACUCCAGAUGUGGCCGAGGGAAGAAAAUCUGCAAAGUGCAAGGCUGACACCUGGAGGGAACUGCUGCGAUGCAGCUGGGGAGUCCAGAGGAGUUAGGCGAGGAUUCUGCAACACAGCUUGGCUUAGGAAAGCUCAGAGGGGGUGACAUGAUCCCAGGAGUGGAGAAGAACAUGGAAACGAACUCUCUGUCAUCUGAUUAUUCACUUCUCCCAUGUUCAGGAAUAUUCGGAUCCAAACUUAUCUUGCUCAAUAAGCUGCUACAAAUAAUGCAACACUAUUGUUUCAGUUGGUUAUUCGAAUAUGUUUGAAUUGCUGCAUAUCAGACUUCCCGCUGCUUUACAUUUGAUCUCUCUGUGCUGUGAGUUUCUGGAGUACAGACUUACAGGGCAAUUCCGCCUGUCAAAGCUGCAGCUGGAAGAUUUGGCAUUAGGUAGAGCUUGUUCUUUUCAUGUCUGGCUCUGCCAGCACCCACCGUGAGGCUUUUCUUGAUGCUGAUCCUAAUCAAGGAACGCAAGGCAGCUUCUGGGACAAAGUCUUCAUGCUUUGGGAAGUUUGCUCUCAGCCUGGCAAUCACCCAUUCACAGCACUUACUCAAACCUUUUCAGUAAUCUCUCCUCUGCCAGGAAUUGUCUCAGUAUUUGUGAAUGCUGUUUUUGCUUGAUCUAAUUUUAGGAUAUGUUAAUAACAGAGUUAUUUACUGUGCUGGUAUUACCGUACACUUAGUAUCUCAUGAACCCAAAGAUUUUAUGUCCGUUACAUCUCCUUAAUUCCCUUUGUCAUUGCCAGUGCAGUUCCAAUCAUCAUAAACUUUGCUUAGCAGUGAAUAGUUGUUUAUGGAAAUUAAAAAAAAAGAAACCAAAACAAAACCAUAAAAUGAACACAGCAGUUAUUUUAAUAACUCUAAUAUGCAAUUCUGCUAAUCCACCGAGGGUACACCUCCCCGAGUCUCCAUAUGUCUUUUCUGGUGUAUCUCAAUCCUGAUUGACUGCAUAUCUUUCCCUUCUAGCCUUCAGACUCCUAAAAUAUCACCGAUAUUCAGUUCAUCCUGAUGAGCAGCCUGAACUACUCCAUACAUUUCCUGCCCAGACCAGCUUAAUGGAUAAGUGAUUGCUGGGGACACUGGAGGGCACUGAAGUUUAUAGAAAGAGGAACACCAUAAUGAAGCUUUAUUGGGAUGGCAUCACCAAACAAUUGCUGUGAUAGCAACACUCCCAAGCUUGGAAAAGCGCCAGACAUUCCCCCCUGGAACUGACUCAGACACUCGCCUCUCUGGCUCAGGACUGACGCAGAAAAUGGAUGCUUUCUGCCUCAUAAAAUGGCCUCUUUCCGCCUUGGAAAUGACUGAGGAACUGUCCACUUUUGAUUUGGAAAGGACUCGGGAACUGGCCUUUCUCCAUUGAACAAUGACUUCGAAACGUAUCUUUUUGGUUUUAUUUGCUUGAUUCUGGCUUGAAAGUAUAAAAGCAUUGUGGUUUUUUUUUGAUUUGGCCAGGACUAGACAGAAAGAAGAUAUUUUUUACCAGCUUUACACAAUAACAGAGGUCGUGAAAGGCUUCAAUGGGAAUUAGACAACCAAGGCUACAAGUAGAAUAGAUGAACUUUCCAUCUCGAACAUCAAACCCAGUUAAGAUGAGAGAGUAUUUGGAAAACAACAUAUAUAUGGUGCGGGGUUAUUGGGUGGCUAUAUCUCAUGCAGGGGACAUGGAGCAUCAUCCAAGAAUAUCAAUAGCAAUCCAGACUCAAUCAUUCUAAAAUUAAACAAACAAAACACACCAAAAAACUCAAACACCAGCGGGACCAAACUGACAAACUCCAGAUUCAAGCACCCCAAAGUACAGAGAAUUUCAAACCCAGAUUUGCGCUGGAUCCUGCCUGUGCAGCUAUUGCAGCAGUUACGAGCCAGUGGUGCAAGAAGGUGCCCCACAACAUUGCAUGUGCGGAGUCCAACAUUUGGUGGGGGAAGUCUGCUUUCACAUUCAGUGCUGUGCUCCCUGCAUAUUGCAGUUGUGUUUCUCCAAAUUCUGACUGUUGGGAAACAUUCAGUGUAAUUUAACAGCAUCAUCCAUGUGGGGGGAAAAAAACCCCAACAUUAAUCCCAAAUUAGUAUGUAUCUGGCUUCUAGGGAACUUGACCAGGACAAAGAGACUUUCUUUUCUUUCUAAAACAGAACGGCAAUGCCAAAUUUUACAUUAAAUUGCAUUUUGGCCUCUGCAAUUCGUGUAUUUGGACUUGAGAUCAGAAACAUUAUUUUAUGAACAAUAGGUCUUUAAUGUGUUGCCUGCUCUUAUGUGCUUCUUUCCCCGAAGUGUCAUCUUCUGACUUCACACUAUAAUAAAUCACGAUGUCAGCUUCGUUUGAAAAAAAUCAAGCUUCUAGAAGUUUACUAUUAGUAAAGAAAACCAGAAAAAAUGUUAUAUCUUCUUAAAGAUUAAAAAUUCUUGUAAACAAAUGCAGAGAAUCCAUAACUGAUUUAUUUUUUUCUUUCCAAUCUCAUAAUAUUUAAGUAAAGUUCGUUUUUUGGAACUCAACUAAGAGUUUUAAUACUUGGAAUGGGCAACGCCGAUACAAACAUCUUGCAUUCGUUUGUUUGAAAGUGAGCCAUUUUCUGACUAACUGAAGAUCUGUUUGUCUACCCAUGUGUUUCUUCUGUACAUCAUCAGAGAAUCCCUGGACUUGGUCCAUCGUAUCUUGAGGUCUGAUCUUAUUCCCACUGAAAUUCAAAGGAGUUCUGCCACUGACUCCCAGUUAAAAAUGGAUCAAACCCAAUUUUACCAUAUAGUAUGAAUAACAAUAGUUUUCCUAUUAAUACAGAGUUUCUUAUUACUAGUUGUGUACCUUUCUGAUUUUAAGGUGUAUGAGGCGCCUCUGUAAAGGAACUAAUGUAUCAGACAUCAGCCAUGAGAUAGAAAAGAGUUGUCAGUUUACAAAAUUUCCUGUCUUCGUCUCUUCUUCCCCUAUUUUUUUUCCCUUCCUUCUGAAAAUAGGAGCAGAAGGUCUUGUUUCACACUGACAGGCUGGGAGGCACAUGUUCCGCGAACUUCUGCACAGGAAGUAAAUGUCCAGGUCAUAUUUAUCCCUUUUCAUGUGGUUCUUUUAAUCCCCCAGAUUGGGUUUCAGAAGAGUUUUACAGUUUCAGUUUUACAAAGCAAACC